UACGUAGGUGGCAAGCGUUGUCCGGAUUUACUGGGCGUAAAGAGCGCGCAGGCGGUCGGAUAAGUCGAAUGUGAAAGCCCCGGCUCAACUGGGGAGGGUCAUUCGAUACUGUUCGACUCGAAGGCAGGAGAGGGAAGUGGAAUUCCCGGUGUAGUGGUGAAAUGCGUAGAUAUUCGCAAGAACACCAGUGGCGAAGGCGGCUCACUGGCCCGGUACUGACGCUGAGGUGGCGAAAGCGUGGGAGCAAACA
rnacentral:rRNA from 1 species